UUUUUGAAGAGUUUGACCCUGGCUCAGGAUGAACGCUAGCGAAAUGCCUAACACAUGCAAGUCGAACGGAUCUUGCCUUGUACUUGUACAGAGUAAGAUUAGUGGCAAACGAGCGAGUAACGCGUGCUUAACCUGCCCCGAAGAUGGGUAUAACUGCAGAGAUGUAGCUAAUUCCCAAUAUGCUCACGAUGGUGAAAUUCCAAUGUGAGGAAAGAUUUAUCGCUUCGGGAGGGGGGUGCGUCCUAUCAGGUAGUUGGUGGGGUAAUGGCCUACCAAGCCAAUGACGGGUAACCGGUCUGAGAUGAUGUCCGGUCGCGAUGGGACUGAGAUACGGCCCAUACUCCUACGGGAGGCAGCAGUGGGGAAUCUUGCACAAUGGACGAAAGUCUGAUGCAGCAAUUUCGCGUGAAGGAUGAAGCAUUACGGUGUGUAAACUUCUUUUUUGGCAGAAGACGAAUGACGGUAUGUCAAGAAUAAGAGACGGCUAACUACGUGCCAGCAGCCGCGGUAAUACGUAGGUCUCGAGCGUUAUCCGGAUUUACUGGGCGUAAAGUGUCCGUAGUCUGAAUUGUAAGUCUGUUUUCAAAUCCUGCGACUCAAUCGUAGAAAGGGAAUAGAUACUGCAAUUCUGGAAGUAUCUGGGGGUUAGUGGAAUUUCCGGUGGAGCGGUGAAAUGCGUUGAUAUCGGAAGGAACGCCGAAAGCGAAAGCAGCUAACUACAGAAUACUUGACGAUGAGGGACGACAGUUUGGGGAGCAAACAGGAUUAGAUACCCUGGUAGUCCAAACCGUAAAUUAUGCUUGCUAGAUGUUUUUAUCAGUUUACUGGUAGGAGUGUCGUAAUCUAACGAGUUAAGCAAGCCGCCUGGGUAGUAUAUUCGCAAGAAUGAAACUCAAAGGGAUAGGCGGGGGAACACACAAGCAGUGGAUUAUCUAGAUUAAUUGGAUAAUAAGCCAAGAAUCUUACCUAGGAUUGACAUGUAAUGUGUCCACUAUGAAAGUAGUGUAUCCGUAGCAAUACGGAGCUUUACACAGGUGGUGCAUGGUCGUCGUCAGCUCGUGCCGCAAGGUGUCUAGUUAAGUCUGGAAACGAGCGCAACCCUCGUGUUUAGUUAGUAUGUCUAAACAGACUGCUCGGGUAACCGAGAGGAAGGAGAGGAUGACGUCAGAUCCUCAUGCCCCUUACACCUAGGGCCUCAUAGAUAAUACAAUGGGUAGGUACAGCGAGAAGCAAGACCGCGAGGUGGAGCAAAUCUUUAAAACUACCCCUAGUUCGGAUUGUAGUCUGGAACUCGACUACAUGAAGUUGGAAUUGCUAGUAAUGGCAGAUCAGCCAUGCUGCCGUGAAUAUGUCCCUGUUCCUUGCACUCACCGCCCGUCAAACCAUGGGAGCUGAGGCUCUUUGAAGACUCAUUAUAUGGGUUAAGGAGGGAAUCAGUGACUGGGGUUAAGUCGUAACAAGGCAUCCCUACCGGAAGGUGGGGAUAGACCACCAUUCUA
rnacentral:rRNA from 1 species